rnacentral:rRNA from 1 species
AGAGUUUGAUCCUGGCUCAGGAUGAACGCUGGCGGCGUGCCUAAUACAUGCAAGUCGAGCGAGAAACUUUAAAACAGCGGUUUCGGCCAAAGUUUAAAAGCGGAAAGCGGCGGACGGGUGAGUAACGCGUAGGCAACCUGCCCAGAGCUUAGGGAUAGCCUUUGGAAACGAAGAUUAAAACCUCAUAAUGCUAAGUUAACACAUGUUAGUUUAGCCAAAUAUUUAUAGGCUUUGGAUGGGCCUGCGUCUGAUUAGCUAGUUGGUAAGGUAACGGCUUACCAAGGCUGCGAUCAGUAGCCGACCUGAGAGGGUGAUCGGCCACAUUGGAACUGAGACACGGUCCAAACUUCUACGGAAGGCAGCAGUAAGGAAUCUUGCACAAUGGGGGAAACCCUGAUGCAGCAACGCCGCGUGAAGGAUGAAGGUCCUAUGGAUUGUAAACUUCUUUUCUUAGGGAAGAAAAAAAUGACGGUACCUAAGGAAUAAGCCCCGGCUAACUACGUGCCAGCAGCCGCGGUAAUACGUAGGGGGCGAGCGUUAUCCGGAAUUAUUGGGCGUAAAGCGUGCGUAGGUGGUUAUUCAAGCGCAAGGUUUAAUUUAGCAGCUCAACUGCUACUCGCCUUGCGAACUGAACUACUUGAGUGCAGGAGGGGAAAGCGGAAUUCCUAGUGUAGCGGUGAAAUGCGUAGAUAUUAGGAGGAACACCAGAGGCGAAGGCGGCUUUCUGGACUGUAACUGACACUGAGGCACGAAAGCGUGGGUAGCAAACAGGAUUAGAUACCCUGGUAGUCCACGCCGUAAACGAUGAACACUAAACGUUGG